CAGCCGCCGCGGUAAUGCGUAGGUCCCGAGCGUUGUCCGGAUUUAUUGGGCGUAAAGCGAGCGCAGGCGGUUAGAUAAGUCUGAAGUGAAAGGCAGUGGCUCAACCAUUGUAGGCUUUGGAAACUGUUUAACUUGAGUGCAGAAGGGGAGAGUGGAAUUCCAUGUGUAGCAGUGAAAUGCGUUGAGAUCGGAAAGAACACCAACGGCAAAAGCACUCUGCUGGGCCGACACUGACACUGAGAGACGAAAGCUAGGGGAGCAAAUGGGAUUAGAUACCCCUGUAGUCCCUGUCUCUUAUACA
rnacentral:rRNA from 1 species